rnacentral:rRNA from 1 species
AAACUUAAAGGAAUUGACGGGGGCCCGCACAAGCGGUGGAGUAUGUGGUUUAAUUCGACGCAACGCGAAGAACCUUACCAGGGCUUGACAUUGAGUGAAAGACUAAGAGAUUAGUUCCUAUCUUCGGAUACACGAAAACAGGUGGUGCAUGGCUGUCGUCAGCUCGUGUCGUGAGAUGUUGGGUUAAGUCCCGCAACGAGCGCAACCCUUAUCCUUUGUUGCCAGCACGUAAAGGUGGGAACUCAAGGGAGACUGCCGUCGACAAGACGGAGGAAGGCGGGGAUGACGUCAAGUCAUCAUGCCCCUUAUGUCCUGGGCUACACACGUACUACAAUGGGCUUAAACAAAGCGAAGCAAGACCGCGAGGUCAAGCAAAACGCAUAAACAAGCUCUCAGUUCGGAUCGGAGGCUGCAACUCGCCUCCGUGAAGUCGGAAUCGCUAGUAAUCGCAGGUCAGCAUACUGCGGUGAAUACGUUCCCGGGCCUUGUACACACCGCCCGUCACACCACGAAAGUUGACAACACCCGAAGCCGGUGGGGUAACCAGCAAUGGAACUAGCCGUCUAAGGUGGGGCCGAUGAUUGGGGUGAAGUCGUAACAAGGUAGCCGUAUCGGAAGGUGCGGCUGGAUCACCUCCUUUAUG